GUUCCCUGCAGCCAAGACCAUGCACAGGGAGUUGUCAGAUCCGAGCAGGGGCUGUGAGAAGAAACAGAUAAAGAUCCUAUACUCACCCCAAACUGAGGGCCAAGAGGAAGCAGGGAUACCUGCACAGACCAGACACUGAGGCACUACUAACCUAGACCACAGUCUGUCCUGCCCAGAUCAACAGUUUGAAACUCUUCCACCCAAGACCAUCUCAUCCUGUGACUCCCUUUUGCACAUGUGACAAAAUAUGCCAUCUGUCCCAAACAGAAGAGACUUGCUUAAUAAACCGUGGCAACCCUGAGCAGACCAUGCCGCGGGCUCCUGCACACACUUGCAGUUCCUCCCAGCUUCUUGUUUUCCUUCUAUCACAAAUACUUAGCAUGUAUUUGGAAAACAGUGCAUGAAUCAUCCAGGAUGGAUACAAAGACAAAGACCAGGGAGCCCAAUCUUGUUCGUAGAUGAGAACCUGCCCCACUCAUGCCCAGGACGCAUACCGAUACAUCAGCCUGCUCCAUGCACUCAGGCCCUGAGCUCCUGGUUUGAGGGAGGCAUCCACUGCUUAGGGCCUGCUGAUCUGGCUGCUGUACCCUGAUAUGAAGGAGAAAUCAACUGUAAGGAAUGGCAGUCCCCUCUGGCUUCUUGUCUCUCUGGCUGUACUCACUGCUGCCUCCAACCCUCUCCUUCAUGCUCUCCUUAUCUCCAUAGCCAGACAGUGUGUCUGUGACGUCAAGGGCAAAGGCUGCUUUUCAUGCCUUCUUGAUCCCCUCAGCAGCCAAAGGAAUGCUAGAGUGGCUUUAUGGGUUUCUCCAUUCAUUCUUCCUACUGGGCAUUCAUGCAGCAGUGGGUUAGAACAGAGACAGGCACAGCAGUCCAUAGCAUUGUUUUUAAUGUUUGUAAAAGUCAUGGGAAGCAUGUGGGUCAAGGGUUCUGGGGCUAGUCUGCUAUGCUGCCCUAACCAAAUCCCAGCUCUACUUCCUGCUGGGAGACAACAGAAAGAAGUCUCCUCUCUCUCAGUAACACACUGGGCUGUGGUAAUAAGACAACAGACACCGACAUCGUGGUGUUGUCUGUAGAUUAAGUGACUCGGUAUGUAUAAAAUCUCUUUAUACCUACUGCUGACCUGAGAGCAGCGAUCAGCACAUAGUAGGUGCUCUGGAAAGUUAGGGAAUGGUGGCAUCAUGAUUCCCAGUGUAGGUUAGGCUAUGAUGGGGACGGCCCAUCCAGGAAGAGGGCAGUGACUAAGCAGUGGUGUAGGUAGGAGGUGGACCUGCUCUGUUGGUGUUUCCGCUUCUGCCCUGGCUAUUGUUGGCCAUCUAUCUCAGAGACAUGGAAGAAAGGAGCAGGUGGGGAUAAGUCUACCUCUUAUGUGGUUAGCGUGUUGGUAAAAGAGUGUUGGUGAGAAAACAGUGCCUGGUGGAUGUCUAUCCCCAGCAACAAAUGUAAGACCUGGUCUAAGGAGAAAAAUCAGUGUCUCACCUGUAGUUUUCUGAACUUGAUAAAAUGUCGCAGAAUUCCCUGUCUCAUAAGCCAGGUGUUAAGGACACUUGAUGGGAAGUCACUUUGACCAUGGAGUCUGACUGUGGACAUCAGAUCAAGGAUUGAAGGCCAGGAUCAGAGGCAAAAGACGUCCCUCUAGGAGUCCAAGCUGAGUGAUCAUACAACAUUCUGAAGAAGUCGCAUUUAAACUAAACUGCUGGGGGCAAAACAAACAAGCCAAAAAAACCAUACAAUUAACACAGAAGUCCUCUGUCCUUCCUGCCAGAAGCCUUUGCCUAGGUAGCAGGCUGGGGUGGACAUGCUCUCCCGAGUUGCUCUUCAGACAGCAGAAGGGAAGGAAGACUCGCCCUUGUUGCUGAGGUGCAAGAGCCUUCCGCUGCAAUGGCAGCCCCUUCUCUUGACUAAGUCACUUCUAGAUUUCACCCUGUGAGUUGGGAUGCUUUUGGCUUCAAGUGAACAUCACCCCACAUUGAGUAGCCUAAACCAGGGGAGCAGUCACUGUUUUCUGGAGAGGAUUCUCAAGAGCCAUCACUCCCAGGGCUACCUCUACAACUGUACUGUACUGGGGUGGUUCUCUGGGUGUUCUUGGUUCCAAAGAAGGAAAUGUCACACACUCACAAGGGGCCCAGAGGCAGAGAGAAGCAGGGCAGCCUUGGGCUUCUCCUUACUCCGCAAUGGCCACUCUAGUAGGACACACAGGAGGAAAGGGUUGAGGAGAGUGGCCAGCAGGUACCCAUGCAAACUGGGGACUAAAGAAAAACAAGAGCUAGAUGUGCUAAGUCAGUGGGGAGCGGCACCCAGUGGUCAUGAAGGAUAACGGGUCAACUGGCCACUGACACAGGUGAGUCCAGGUUUCUUCAUUUCUUGCCGUUGCUUUCUCACAUCAGCUCAGAAGCUAGAAUGUUGUGCUAAGAGGCAUCCUAGGC
rnacentral:lncRNA from 1 species